GCGGAAGUGGUGGAAUUGGUAGACACGCCAGAUUUAGGUUCUGGUGCCGAAAGGUGUGGGGGUUCGAGUCCCCCCUUCCGCA
rnacentral:tRNA from 1 species